rnacentral:tRNA from 1 species
AGAGAUGUAGCUCAGUGGUAGAGCACUUGCCUAGCACACAGGAGCCACUGGGUUCCAUUCCCAGCACUA